CCUACGGGUUGCAGCAGUGGGUAAUAUUGCACAAUGGGGGAAACCCUGAUGCAGCCAUGCCGCGUGUAUGAAGAAGGCCUUAGGGUUGUAAAGUACUUUCGGUGAUGAGGAAGGUGCUUGGUCUAAUAGGCCAAGUAAUUGACGUUAAUUACAGAAGAAGCACCGGCUAACUCCGUGCCAGCAGCCGCGGUAAUACGGAGGGUGCGAGCGUUAAUCGGAAUGUCUGGGCGUAAAGGGCAUGUAGGCGGAUGAUUAAGUUAGGUGUGAAAUCCCCGAGCUCAACUUGGGAAUUGCAUUUAAAACUGGUCGUCUAGAGUAUUGUAGAGGAAGGUAGAAUUCCACGUGUAGCGGUGAAAUGCGUAGAGAUCUGAAGGAAUACCAGUGGCGAAGGCGGCCCCCUGGACAAAGACUGACGCUCAGAUGCGAAAGCGUGGGGAGCAAACAGGAUUAGAUACCCGGGUAGUC
rnacentral:rRNA from 1 species